rnacentral:rRNA from 1 species
AUUAUUAAGAAUAAAAAAUUGUAAGUAAAUAUUAAUUACGAAAGCAAAAAAUUAUGGCGGUAUUUUAAGCUUUUCAGAGGAAUUUGCUCUUUAAUGGAUAAAACACCUAAAUCUUACUUAAAUUAGUACCUUUCAGUUUGUAUACCACUAUUAUAAUAAUAAUUUGUUAUUAUUAUUAAUAUUCUUAAAUUAGAAUAAAAUUAAGUCAAGGUGCAGCAUAAAUUUAUGAAUGAAGUGAAUUACAUUUCUUUAAAGAAAAAUGAAAUUGAAAUAAAACAUUUAGGAUUUGAUAGUAAAGUUAAAAUAUUAUGUUAAUUUGAAUAAAGCUCUAAAAUAUGU